rnacentral:rRNA from 1 species
ACUCAAAGGAAUAGACGGGGGCCCGCACAAGCGGCGGAGCAUGUGGCUUAAUUCGAUGCAACGCGAAGAACCUUACCAAGGCUUGACAUAUAGAGAAAUCUGGCAGAGAUGCCAGGUCCGCAAGGGCUCUAUACAGGUGGUGCAUGGUUGUCGUCAGCUCGUGUCGUGAGAUGUUGGGUUAAGUCCCGCAACGAGCGCAACCCUCGUCCUAUGUUGCCAGCGGUUCGGCCGGGAACUCAUGGGAGACUGCCGGGGUCAACUCGGAGGAAGGUGGGGAUGAGGUCAAAUCAUCAUGCCCCUUAUGUCUUGGGCUGCACACAUGCUACAAUGGCCGGUACAAAGGGCUGCGAAACCGCAAGGUGGAGCGAAUCCCAAAAAGCCGGUCUCAGUUCGGAUUGGGGUCUGCAACUCGACCCCAUGAAGUCGGAGUCGCUAGUAAUCGCAGAUCAGCAACGCUGCGGUGAAUACGUUCCCGGGCCUUGCACACACCGCCCGU